rnacentral:tRNA from 1 species
CCUUUAGCUCAGCUGGUCAGAGCACUCGGCUCAUAACCGAUCGGUCCCGGGUUCGAAUCCCUGAAGG